CUUUCCGCCUCCUCCCCGACGACCUCCUCCGCCACGUGCUAUCCUUUCUCCCCAACGACGACGCCCUGCAGACCUGCGUGCUCGACACCCGGUGGCGCGACCUCUGGAGGCGCGUGACCAGCCUGGACUUCACCUUCUACGACGGCAGGUCAGACAUCGAGAAGUCCAGGCGUUUCAAGCAGAUUGUGCAGCUGAUAAUCUGCCUCCGCGGAAACUCGCCCCUCGUGAAGUGCGAGAUGGGCUCCUUCGGUCACGAGGAAGACGCCGAGCCGUUGUUGGCCGAGUACGCCCUAACGUGCCAGGUCGAGGAGCUCAUAGUCAUAUCUAGAGAUUACCCGAAUCCAACACGCUACGAUGCCCCGUUCAUCUCCCGGCACCUGAAGAUCCUAGAGUUUUGCAAUGUUUACCUCCAGGGCUGGUCGCUGGAUUUCUCGAGCUGUCCGGUGUUGGAGGAUCUGGCGCUGGAGCACUGCUGCAUUCAUGCACCCAGCAUAGUGUCCAAAUCGCUAAAGCGUCUGUGGAUCACCGGUUUCUGUACUUUCCCUCUCUAGUUCCGCAUCAGCAUUGUUGCACCAGAUCUUAUCUCGCUGCAGCUCGAUCUUUUCAGUGGCCUGACCCCUUCCCUUGAGCACAUGCCAUUUCUAGUAUCGGCCUAUGUUGGGCUUCGCUAUGGUUGCCAAGAUUUCUGUAGAAGGAAGGGGCAGAGCUGUCGCGAUCAUGAAUGUGGUUGUCAUGCUUAUCCUGCGGACCAGGGCCUGCUACUAAAUAGAUUGGCCAAUGUUGCUAGUUUGGAAUUGAUAGCUAUGAGUAAAAUGGUAAGCGUCCAGUUUACUCCUUUUUUUUAUUCUUAUUGAUAAUUAAUUGCCACCCACAGUUUCACUUUCUGUUGUUUUCGAUUGUCCAAGUCUGAAAGUUUCUUAUUGUUUUUAUCCAGUUUAUCUACAGGUGGGACUUAGAACGAUGCCCCAUAUUUGGAAACUUAAAGACCCUGUUACUCAAUGAUUGGUUUACGCCUAUUGACCUCGUUUGCAUCCUCCGGAACUCUCCAAUUCUUGAGAUGCUCACUCUUCAGCUUGAUAAGACUAAGAACCUCUUAAGAGCAACAGGAUCUCAAAAUUCAAUAGAACAACCAUUUGUGUGUGCACACCUUAAGGCUGUCAACAUUCAAUGUAUAAAGGUUGACGAGGCAGUUCGCAAAAUUUUGAAGAUCUUAAAUACAUGUGGCAUACUUCGUGACCGAAUUAGCAUAAAGGACACAUGUUUUGACUCACUCAGUUUCAGUUUCCAGAAGCAUCCGCACUGCACCAACUGCCGCUCCGGUUGUUCCAGCUGCCACCCCAUUGGCGUCUCUUGAGAUAUAUGCGUGUUCGUUAUGUUGUUCUAA